UACGUAGGGUCCGAGCGUUGUCCGGAUUUAUUGGGCGUAAAGAGCUCGUAGGCGGUUUGUCGCGUCGUUCGUGAAAACUCACAGCUUAACUGUGAGCUUGCGGUCGAUACGGGCAGGCUAGAGUUCGGUAGGGGAGACUGGAAUUCCUGGUGUAGCGGUGAAAUGCGCAGAUAUCAGGAGGAACACCGGUGGCGAAGGCAGGUCUCUGGGCAUUAACUGACGCUGAGGAGCGAAAGCAUGGGGAGCGAACAGG
rnacentral:rRNA from 1 species